rnacentral:piRNA from 1 species
UACAUUAGAAUGAGAAAUUAA